rnacentral:rRNA from 1 species
ACUCCUACGGGAGGCAGCAGUAGGGAAUCUUCCACAAUGGGCGCAAGCCUGAUGGAGCAACACCGCGUGAGUGAAGAAGGGUUUCGGCUCGUAAAGCUCUGUUGUUAAAGAAGAACACGUAUGAGAGUAACUGUUCAUACGUUGACGGUAUUUAACCAGAAAGUCACGGCUAACUACGUGCCAGCAGCCGCGGUAAUACGUAGGUGGCAAGCGUUAUCCGGAUUUAUUGGGCGUAAAGAGAGUGCAGGCGGUUUUCUUAAGUCUGAUGUGAAAGCCUUCGGCUUAACCGGAGAAGUGCAUCGGAAACUGGAUAACUUGAGUGCAGAAGAGGGUAGUGGAACUCCAUGUGUAGCGGUGGAAUGCGUAGAUAUAUGGAAGAACACCAGUGGCGAAGGCGGCUACCUGGUCUGCAACUGACGCUGAGACUCGAAAGCAUGGGUAGCGAACAGGAUUAGAUACCCUGGUAGGAUAGCG